CUAUAAAUAAUAAAAAAAAAGAAAAUUCCUAAAAGAUAUUUAAAUUUUGUGAAUGAAAAUGAGGAAGAGAUGUCAAAUUUCUUACAAAAUCCCAUAUGAAGCGACCUUGAUUGAAAAAUCAACUAUAAGUGUGCAUUUUUGGGAAAAUUGCCAAUUUUUUUUUUCUUCAAGCCAUCUCUUUCGCAUUCAUUUGGGGCAAAAUGAACUGCAUUUUAUCACAUUGAAAGCAUCAAAAUGAAAAUGACCCACACAGUUAAAGAAAAAGAAUGCGAUGAUGCAAUUCUGGAAUAAAUUUUCCCCUUAACAACCAUUUAGGUAUAGGGAAGAGAGUAAGAUAUUUUGGAGUAUGCUCAAAGUGAUAUUUUAGUAACAUAUUACAUCACUAGAUGUCAUUUUAAUCUCAUAUUAAAUCUAACCUAAAUUUUUUUUAAUCAUUUUAUUAAUAUUACAUUAAAAGGGUUCGGAAACUGAUGCAAAAGUGGGCAUAUAGUGCAUCUAGGCGCUAUCUAAAAAUUUUCUAGUUUGUUAGAAUUUUAGUUUGUAUUCUCAUAAUUUCAUUUUCUCAUAGAUUUUAAUUUAGAAUAAUUUUGGACAAGUCAAAAUACCUGCUAAAGGCAUAUAAUUAUUCCUCUAUUAUUCUAGACAGAAUAGAUCUCUUCUCUAGGGCCAGACGCUCUAGUGAUUGAAUACGCUAGGGCUACUUUAAAGAUCGUUAUAUGUAGUGAUAAUGUUUAAGUUUUCGUUGAACGUUAAAACAUGAUAGAAGCCGAUUUUAGGAUUUUCUUAGAAUCCGAUUUUAUUCAAAUCAGUUAAUCACGAUCCUACUAAUUAGCUGUCAAAAACUAACGUCUUUGCUGAUAUUUAAAAAGACAAUCAGUUUUGAAAAAAAACGUCUAAUAAAUUUUCCAAAUACGGCAUGUCCAUUGCAUUGGUCAAAACCUGUACUGUACACUACCAUCAAUUUUCUACUACAAAAUUCAAUCGAAUACUCAAUCAAAUUUUUUUUUGCAAAUAGCGUCUAUUUUGUUCCGAGGUUAGGGGUCAUAUAAGUGAUAGAGCAGCAGUACAAUCUUCCUAUUAAAAAAAAUAUUUUCUUGGAAAGUAAACUAUUUUGGAAUUCCCAAAGAUUGAAAUAAAAUUCAACAAGACAAAUGUUCAAGGUUUUCUGCUGUGUGCAUAAUAAUUUUAAAAAAAUCAAGAAAAACAACUUUCUGCGAGAAUUCUGUCUGAUUUCAACUUAUAUUCCUUCAGUUGUGAUUUUGCUCUUGAACUUGUCGUUUUGAUCUGCUUUGAAAGAAACAAAAAAAACUCAAAAAUGUAUUGGAAGGAAACUUUUUUCCUUCUAUUUGUGAUUUUAUGUGUUUCUGCCCAAAGAUUGGCACACCCAGAGUGCCCAGAAGGGGGAUUCAAAUACAUUUACAUCAACUCCCAAAGGCAAUGGGUUGGUCUAGGAUGGGCAUGGACAAGGCAAUUCAGUAGAUUGCACAAUGUAACGCUUGAUGUGAAUUUUGCAACUGCCCAACUAGUGGACACAACAAAUCUGGGAACACUGAAAAUCAUUAAUUUUUACGAAGUACGAAAUCCGUGGUAGUACGACAAACGAUGGAAUAUCAUUUAUGAGCUCAUCUUUCCCAUUCAAGAGCCUCUACCAGAUGUAACGAAGAUUGUUUUGAAUGGAGAUGUUCUCUGUGAUGAUCGUGAUAGAGAAUUUACAGCUGAGAAAUCAGACCUUGUUAGAAUACGGCUGAGGUAUAAUUAUUACUUGGAGGAACAAAAUUUUACAGCAGAUCUAAUAAGAAAGAUCAUACCUCUUCCGGUUACAACGGAAAAUUUCAAUGUAACAGAUUCAAAGGAAAAUGAGAUUUAAAUCUACGCACGUUCUAUAUUAAAAGUAGGUAAGAACAUAGCAGUGCAGUGUAUUGAAUGAAAAUUCUUAAAGUUCUUAUAGGAUAUUUUAUUUGUAAAUCUUAUAAGAAUAUAAUUUUGUUCUUUACAAUAGUUUUCAGUUCUCUCCAAACGUCAGCACUCUUUGACAGUUCUUAUUUGAAAAUAUUGUUAUAAACUUUCAAAUUUUCAAAACAAAAUAAAA